UGCAACAGAAACAGCAGCAGAGCAGACCAAAUUAGAUUUUUAAAUGUUAGCGGCUUAAUAAUACUGUGUUGUUAGCAAUUGAAUUUGUUUUUAUUAAAGAAACAACCUAUAAAAUUUAUAGGCUUCCAACAUGUUGCAAGAUUUCCUUGCUAUUUAUUUAGCCUCCUCCCCCUCUUCUGAAAUUCUAUCUUCAAUUUCAAACUUUUUGUUCCCGAUUUAUUUAAUUUGGAGCACAUUUUCUAAAUUAGUUCAAGGAAGGUGAGAAAUGCAGUUAUAAGUUUUUCUUUUUUCCUGUGCCGUGCGGCACCAGGACAGCGAUGCUGUAAGAUAUAUAUAAAUGUGUGAUGCAAUUGCCCGAGGUGCCGGCAUGUGAAGCAGAGUGUCUGGAUCAAACAAAAUGCAGAUCAGUGUAGGGAGAGGAUGAAAAUGAUGCCACAGAGGAAGUUACGUGGGGAAUGAAAUCAUCACGAGCCACCGUUAGCCAUGAUUCUAGCCAACACACCAUGCUUUGUAUGACACUUCAGAUGAGAUCCGUGACUUACUGAAGAUUGAAUUAGGCUGAGAAGCCGAAUUUUGGAGGAGGAGCCUUACUGGCUGGGCUCCGUCCAGGCUGCAUGG
rnacentral:lncRNA from 1 species